rnacentral:lncRNA from 1 species
AGAUUUCCCAGUAGGUCCUUGUUACCUGUCUAUUUUAUACACAGUAGUCUGCAUAGGUCCAUCCCAACCCCCCAAUUUAUCCCUCCUGCCCCACGUCUCCCCUUUGGUAACCAUGAGUUUGAUUUCAAAAUCUUUGAGUCUGUUUCUGUUUUGUAAGUUCUUUUGCAUUACUUUUAUUAGAUUCCACAUAUUGGUGAUCUCACGUGAUAUUUGUCUUUCUCGGUCUGACUGACUUUACUUAGUAUGAUAAUUUCUAGGUCCAUCCGUGUUGCUGCAAAUGGCAUUAUUAUUUCUUUUUCAUGACUCAGUAGUAUUCCCUUGGACAUGUGUACCACAUCUUCUUUAUCCAUUCCCCUGUUGAUGGACAUUUAGGUUGCUUCCUUGUCUUGGCCAUUGUGAACACUGCUGUGAUGUAUGUGGUGGUGCAUGUAUCUUUUUGAACUAUGAUUUUCUCUGGAUAGCUGCCCAAGAGUGGGAUUGCUGGAUCAUAUGAUAGUUCUAUAUUUAGUUUAUUUAAGGAACCUCCAUUCUGUUCUCCAUAGUGAUUGGACCAACUUACAUCCUCACCAGCAGUGUGGGAGGGUUUCCUUUUCCCCACUCCCUCUCCAGCAUUUAUUGUUUAUAGAUUAUUUUGAGGAUGUCGUUUACGUCUAUUUUAAACUUGGCCUUCCUGGCUAAGAAUAAUGGAUUUAUUUGAUGAGAAAAAACAUUCAUAUUGGGUGUCACUAGAAGGGAAAAAGGACCAGAGAAGUUUUUUGGUUUUGUUUUAAUUUAUCAAGAGAUAAGCUAUAUUUUAAAAAAUAAAAUAAAGUAAAAUAAGCCCCGGCUCAACUGGUGAUAUUUGCCUUUUCUUUUGGCCUGGGACCUGGUCUAGUGCCAAGCUCCAGGCUGACCAUUACCUCCUCCUGAAAUGCCUGCUCCCUCACCCGGCAAAUGCUUUUCUUUCCUUUUGUGUCUAGAGGUGUCCUCUGCCUUUGGGGUAAGAAGAAGAGCGUUGAUUUCGUUCAGCAAAAAACACUUACUGAGCACCUUCAGUGUGUCCGUCACUUUGCUCGGCACUUAGGUUCCAGGUUCGAUCCCUCGCCUCGCUCAGUGGGUUAAGGAUCCAUCAUUGCCAUGAGCUGCAGUAUAGGUCACAGACACAGCUUGGAUCCCAAGUUGCUGUGGCUGUGGUGAAGGCUGGCAGUGGCAGCUCCGAUUUGACCCCCUAGCCUGGAAACUUCCAUAUUCUGUACUUACAGCCCUAAAAUGUAAAACAAAAACAAAAACAAAAAUUAAAACAAAACAAACAAAAAGAAUGCACCAAGAAGGAGUUCCCGUCAUGGUGGAGCAGAAACGAAUCCGACUAGGAACCAUGAGGAUGUGAGUUCGAUCCCUGGCCUUGCUCAGUGGGUUAAGGAUCUGGCGUUGCUGUGAGCCAUGGUGUAAGUUGCAGAUGGGGCUCAGAUCUGGCAUUGUUGUGGCUGUGGUGUAGACCGGCUGCUACGGCUCCGAUUAGACUCCUAGCCUGGGAACCUCCACAUGCCAAGGGUGCAGCCCUAAAAAGACAAAAGACCAAAAAAAAAAAAAAAAAAAAAAAAAAA